GCCAUGAUGCAGUAUGUGAGCCUAUGUUAUGAUAGCCUGUUAUCCUAACCUAAAACCUGUUUUGGUUUUAGAAUUACAGGUUAAUUUUAAGCCCAGCAUUAACAGAUUUUCCAAAGCUGUAAAUUGAAGACUUGCUCCCUAUAGAGUGGUGAAGAAAAGAUGCAACAGCUGAAUGUGGUAGUUGGACUUGGGACAGAUGGCGUGCAAGAGCAAAUGCUCCAGAAGGGAAAGUGGUUUUACAGAGAGGGAUUACAUGGGCUCUACACUGACUGAACAGUCCUGCACUGCUCUUCGAUUGUUUAACUGUUGUCACAGAACUAAAGUUGAUGCCUCCUCCCCAUCUCAUGUGUGGAAGAGGAGCUGCAGUCCCCAUGGGCUCCCUGCAUGGCUCAUGAAUUUCCCAGAUGAUUCUCCAGAGCGCUGCUGUGGCAGUGUCUCUUCUUCCUUCCCACGGAUUGUGGGAGCGCUGAUGUGGAUGUCUGAUUUCAGGAGGUCUUUCAGGUGAAACGUGUUCUCCAACCUCUGGCAGCCCCAGCCUUUCCAGGUCUCCUUGCCCAUCAGCACCAGCACAGCCAGCGUUUCAGGAGCAGCUGCUGAGCGAUGCCCUGAAGCUCUGUCUGCAUGGCUGCAUCACAGAGAGUAGCACGGACUGUCUUGCAAGAAUGGAAAACUGUGAGAAAGAAUGUGAAGGUACAGGAAGGCAAUGUGUCCAUCUGAAGUUUAUGGAAGUGCAAUUGCCAGUAUGCACCUUGGGUCUAAAGCAACAUUCAGACUGAUACUUAAAGUAGCAGUGCGUGUCUUGCUAGUUGCCCUUACUCUCACGGGUAUCACAGCUUUUCUGUGCUUGACUCUUUUUCAUACCCUUUUUCUGUAUGGAAUGGGAAAGUAAGAAUAGCUGGAAUGUUUGUGCAUUUCACAAAAUGGCAUGAAUUAUAGCACGCAC
rnacentral:lncRNA from 7 species